rnacentral:rRNA from 1 species
GUCCUAGCCGUAAACGGUGAGCACUAGGUGUUGGAGGCAUUGACCCCUCCAGUGCCGCAGCUAACGCAUUAAGUGCUCCGCCUGGGGAGUACGGCCGCAAGGUUGAAACUCAAAGGAAUUGACGGGGGCCCGCACAAGCGGUGGAGCAUGUGGUUUAAUUCGACGCAACGCGAAGAACCUUACCCAGACUUGACAUGUAUUCGACCGGUGUGGAAACACACCUUCCCUUCGGGGCGGAUGCACAGGUGCUGCAUGGCUGUCGU